rnacentral:rRNA from 1 species
UACGGAGGGGGUUAGCGUUGUUCGGAUUUAUUGGGCGUAAAGCGCGCGCAGGCGGAUUGUUAAGUCAGAUGUGAAAUCUCGGGGCUCAACCCCGAAACUGCGUCUGAAACUGAUGAUCUAGAGUAAUGGAGGGGAGAGCGGAAUUUCGCAUGUAGGGGUAAAAUCCGUAGAGAUGCGAAGGAACACCAGAGCCGAAGGGGGCUCUCUGGCCAUUUACUGACGCUGAGGCGCGAAAGCGUGGGGAGCAAACAGG